rnacentral:rRNA from 1 species
AGCUCCAAUAGCGUAUAUUAAUGUUGUUGCAGUUAAAAAGCUCGUAGUUGGAUUUCUGACAAGAGUAAUCGGUCCAAACCUUCGGGUUUGUGUACUUGGUUUUCUCUAGUCAUCCUUAUGGAGAACGUGCUUGGCAUUAGGUUGUCGGGUACGGGACCCAUAUCAUUUACUGUGAAAAAAUUAGAGUGUUCAAAGCAGGCAAUCGCUGUGAAUACAUUAGCAUGGAAUAAUAAGAUAGGACUUUGGUACUAUUUUGUUGGUUUGCAUACCAAGGUAAUGAUUAAGAGGGACAGUUGGGGGUAUUCGUAUUUAAUUGUCAGAGGUGAAAUUCUUGGAUUUAUGAAAGACGAACUACUGCGAAAGCAUUUACCAAGGAUGUUUUCAUUAAUCAAGAACGAAA